AUUGAACGCUGGCGGCAGGCCUAACACAUGCAAGUCGAGCGGAUGAAGGGAGCUUGCUCCUGGAUUCAGCGGCGGACGGGUGGGUAAUGCCUAGGAAUCUGCCUGGUAGUGGGGGAUAACGUCCUGAAACGGGCGCUAAUACCGCAUACGUCCUGAGGGAGAAAGUGGGGGAUCUUCGGACCUCACGCUAUCAGAUGAGCCUAGGUGGGAUUAGCUAGUUGGUGGGGUAAAGGCCUACCAAGGCGACGAUCCGUAACUGGUCUGAGAGGAUGAUCAGUCACACUGGAACUGAGACACGGUCCAGACUCCUACGGGAGGCAGCAGUGGGGAAUAUUGGACAAUGGGCGAAAGCCUGAUCCAGCCAUGCCGCGGGUGUGAAGAAGGUCUUCGGAUUGUAAAGCACUGUAGGUUGGGAGGAAGGGCAGUAAGUUAAUACCGUGCUGUUUUGACGGUACCAACAGAAUAAGCACCGGCUAACUUCGUG
rnacentral:rRNA from 1 species